UUAGAGGGUCCCCCACUAAAAAACCUUCAGUAAGAGAGACUUCUUUUUAUGUUCAGCAUUUGCCAUGGAGCAUCAAUUGUAGUACCAAUCUUAUCUCACUGCAAUCCCUACCAAUCUCAGUUGGAGCUCGAAGUUCCACAACAAUGGUUUGGCACUAGAAAAAUGGUUAUUGCCUUUUCAAAUGAGAGAAAUUCAACAUCCCAUCAUUAUGAAAUCGUGCACAAGCAGGGCAUCACACACCUCAUGUUGUUCCAAUACUUCCCUACCAAGUCCAAUUUGCAUACCACCGUCUCAACCAUCUUAGCCCCUAGCAUUGUGAAUCCCUAGUAGAUUAAUUUGCUCAUUUAGUAGGUGCAAUUUUUGACUAUGGUAGUCCAAGGGAUGCAACAAUCAAUUGCACCUCAGCCAUAGCCAAAUAAUCCAAAUCCAGCUUCAACUCAUCCAGUGCAAAGCCACCAGUCUCACCACUUUAAUUUUUGAAAUAUCUAAUUUACCCCCACUUUUGGGUAGCCAUAUCUGGGCAACAGUGGAAAUAGCUACUAACCACCCUAUUUAUAUAGAAGGAGGUAGGGGACCCUCAGAAAAGUCUCUUGACUCACAUUCCACUGCUCAUUUUUUACUCUCUCAUUCUCCUUUUCUCUAUUUCGUUGUUCUCUAAACUCUGAUGUACUUGAAUGUUAGAGGGUUCCACUAAAAAACCUUCAGUAAGAGGGACUUCUUUUCAUGUUCAGCAUUUGCCAUGGAGCAUCAAUUGUAGUACCAAUCUUAUCUCACUGCAAUUCCUACCAAUCUCAGUUGGAGCUCGGAGUUUCGCAACAAUGGUUUGGCACUAGAAAAAUGGUUAUUGCCUUUUCAAAGGAGAGAAAUUCAACAUCCCAUCAUUAUGAAAUCAUGCACAAGCAGGGCAUCACACACCUCAUGUUGUUCCAAUACUUCCCUACCAAGUCCAAUUUGCAUACCACCAUCUCAACCAUCUUAGCCCCU
rnacentral:lncRNA from 1 species